AGUGAACGCUGGCGGUAGGCCUAACACAUGCAAGUCGAACGGCAGCACAGUAAGAGCUUUCUCUUACGGGUGGCGGGUUGCGGACGGGGGGUGCAUACAUCGUAUUCUACUUUUUCGUGGGGGCUAACGGAGGGUAACUUCCGCUUAUUCUGCUUACGGCCUUCGGUUAAUAUCAGGGGAUCUUCGGACUUUGCGCGAGUGAAUGCGCCGUUGUCGGAUUAGCUAGUUGGCGGGGUAAAGGCCCACCAAGGCUAAGAUCCGUAGCUGGUCUGAGAGGAUGAUCAGCCACACUGGAACUGAGACACGGUCCAGACUCCUACGGGAGGCAGCAGUGGGGAAUAUUAGACAGUGGGCGCAAGCCUGAUCCAGCCAUGCCGCGUGGGUGAAGAAGGCCUUCGGGUUGUAAAGCUCUUUUGUUGGGAAAGAAGGGCAGCAGGUUAAUACCCCGCUGUUCUGACGGUACCCAAAGAAUAAGCACCGGCUAACUUCGUG
rnacentral:rRNA from 1 species